AACAGGAUUAGAUACCCUGGUAGUCCACGCCCUAAACGAUGUCUACUAGUUGUCGGGUUUUAAUUAACUUGGUAACGCAGCUAACGCGUGAAGUAGACCGCCUGGGGAGUACGGUCGCAAGAUUAAAACUCAAAGGAAUUGACGGGGACCCGCACAAGCGGUGGAUGAUGUGGAUUAAUUCGAUGCAACGCGAAAAACCUUACCUACCCUUGACAUGUCAGGAAUCCCGAAGAGAUUUGGGAGUGCUCGAAAGAGAACCUGAACACAGGUGCUGCAUGGCUGUCGUCAGCUCGUGUCGUGAGAUGUUGGGUUAAGUCCCGCAACGAGCGCAACCCUUGUCAUUAGUUGCUACGCAAGAGCACUCUAAUGAGACUGCCGGUGACAAACCGGAGGAAGGUGGGGAUGACGUCAAGUCCUCAUGGCCCUUAUGGGUAGGGCUUCACACGUCAUACAAUGGUACAUACAGAGGGCCGCCAACCCGCGAGGGGGAGCUAAUCCCAGAAAGUGUAUCUUAGUCCGGAUUGUAGUCUGCAACUCGACUACAUGAAGUUGGAAUCGCUAGUAAUCGCGGAUCAGCAUGUCGCGGUGAAUACGUUCCCGGGUCUUGUACACACCGCCCGUCACACCAUGGGAGCGGGUUUUACCAGAAGUAGGUAGCUUAACCGCAAGGAGGGCGCUUACCACGGUAGGAUUCGUGACUGGGGUGAAGUCGUAACAAGGUAACC
rnacentral:rRNA from 1 species